GACGAACGCUGGCGGUGUGCUUAGCACAUGCAAGUCGAACGGAAAGGCCUCUUUCGGGGGGUACUCGAGUGGCGAACGGGUGAGUAACACGUGAGUAACCUGCCCUUGACUUUGGGAUAACUUCAGGAAACUGGGGCUAAUACCGGAUAGGAGCUCCUGCUGCAUGGUGGGGGUUAGAAAGUUUCGGCGGUUGGGGAUGGACUCACGGCUUAUCAGCUUGUUGGUGGGGUAGUGGCUUACCAAGGCUUUGACGGGUAGCCGGCCUGAGAGGGUGACCGGCCACAUUGGGACUGAGAUACGGCCCAGACUCCUACGGGAGGCAGCAGUGGGGAAUAUUGCACAAUGGGUGGAAGCCUGAUGCAGCAACGCCGUGUGCGGGAUGACGGCCUUCGGGUUGUAAACCGCUUUCGCUCAUGACGAAGCUUUGUGUGACGGUAGUGGGUAAAGAAGCACCGGCUAACUACGUG
rnacentral:rRNA from 1 species